GGUACGUUAAAAAAACAUCUUAUCAUUGUAAAUGAUAUACUUAAAAUUUAGAUAUUUAUUUUAAAUCUUUCUAAAUACACUUUCCAGUACAUUUACUUUGUUACGACUUGUCUUAUUUUUAAUAAGAAUGACGGGCAAUAUGUACAUAUUUUAGAUUUAAAUAAAUAAAUAAAUUUACUAUUAAAUCCAAAUUUCAUUUCAAUUUUCAUUUAAAAUCCAUAAAUAUUUAAUUUAAUGUAUUCAUUUAAAACUUAUUUAUAAACUAAGUACAUCUUGACUUAACAUAAAUUAUUAAAUUAAUUUUUAAAUAUAUUCAUGACAGCGAUAUAUAAAUUAAAAAAUAAGUAAAAUUAAUCGUGGAUUAUCAAUUACUCAACAGGUUCCUCUAAUAAGACUAAAAUACCGCCAAAUUUUUUAAAUUUAAGUAUAACUAUUAAUUUUUAAGUAAUUAAUAUUUAUAUUUUUAUAAUAGGGUAUCUAAUCCUAGUUUAAACUAAAAUUUAAUAGAAUAAAAUAAUUAUAAAUUUAAUUUCACCUUACAAAAAAAUUAUUUAAUUAACAUUAUUUUAUAAUAUUAACCUAGGGAUCCUAUACAUCCAGUAUUAAACGGGAUUGACCUAUAUUUGAAAUAAGCGUCCCGGUAUCCCGGUCAAAAAUUCUAAAUAACACUUUUGCCCCGUAUUUUGAAUCCAUAAGUCCCUAAAUUUUCCUUAUUUCUUAAAUUUUAUAAUUCAAAUUUGCAUGUUAUCAUGAGAUUAGGUAGAUUAGGUUAAUUAUCACUGUAGAAGUGUAGACAAAUUAUAUUCACUUAUUAAUAUGUUAGUUUGACUUCAAUAUUAUUUUUUCUUAAACUUUUGGUUUUGAAUGGAUAACUUUUGAAUUACGUACUUGUUUUGAGGGCUUCAUCCUUACCAUCACCCCUCCCACCACAUAGUUUGUUGCAAUAUAUGUACAUUUUAAGUAAGAUUUAAAAUGUUCCGAAUUUAUAAUAAAUAAAUCUAGGAUCCUUAUAUUAUUAUUUAUUUAUUUAUUUUAUUUAUACAAUAUGUUUAACCGCAACUGCUGGCACAAUAUUUUGUUUAUAUUAAAAUUAAUAAUUAAAUCUAAUUUCCUUUAAUAUUUAAUACUAACAAUUAAUUAUAUUUAUUAAAUAAAAUUAAUUAUUAUAUAUUAAAAAAUGAAUAAUUGGUUAUUGACUAAAUAAUUAAUUCAUAUAAAACAAAUUACAAUAAUACAUAGAACAUAAUACAUCUAAAUAAAUUUUAUUUUAUGCCAUUAAUUAUUAUUUAAAAUAAAAUGCCUGAAAAAAGGAUUACCUUGAUAGAGUAAAUCAUGUAUUCUCUAUAAAUACUUUUAUUAUAUAUUUAGAAUUAAACUGUCUUAAAUUUUAAUGCAAUAACAAUUAAAUAUAUAAUUUACAAAUAAAAUUAUUUUUUCUAAUAAAUUUAAAUUUAACAAAAAUUACAUUUAUAAUAAUAUUAAUUUUUAUGACUUUAAUAUUAAUUCCAUCAACAAAUUGAAUUUCAUUAUGAAAAGGUUUAGAAUUAAAUUUAUUCACCUUUUUACUAAUUUUAAAUUUUAAAUCAUCAAUUUAUUCUAUUGAAUUUUCAAUAAAAUACUAUUCAAUAAACUUUUGCUUUUAUUUUAUUAUUAAUUAUAUUAAUUAAUAAAUCAAUAGAAUUUUUUUAUUAAUUAAACUUAGUUUAAUGCCAUUUGCAUAUUAUUUAUAACAAUAAUAAUUAAUGAAAAUGUAUGAAUAAAUAAAUUUAUUAUUUAUUUCAUUUUAAUUUGUUUAUUUAAAUUAAAUAAACAUAUUAAUAUUAAUUUUCUUUCUAUUAUUCAAUUUCAAUUUAUUUAAUAAAUUAUUUUUUCAAAAUAAAAAAAAUAUAAUUUUAAUUUAAUUAUAUUCAUUAAUCUAAAAGAAAUUAUUUUUUAAUUUUAUUAUUUAUUAAAAAAGAUUUUAAAUCUUAGAUAAUAUCAUUAAAUUUGCAUUUAGUAUCAUAAUUGAAUAUAAAGUUAAUUUUAUAAAAAUAUAUUAUAAAUUUACAAUUUACAACCUUUUAUCAGUAAUUUUAUCAAUUCAUUCAUAAAAUUAAUUUUUUCAACCAAUCAUAAAGAUAUUGGAACUUUACACUUUAUCUUCAGGUAUGAUCUGGAAUAAUAGGAGCUUUACUCAGAAUAUUAAUUAGACUUGGAUUAAAUCAAAUUAAUAAUAAUUAUUUAUACAAUGUAAUUGUAUAAUUCAUACUUUUAUUAUAAUAUUUUUUAUAACAAUACCUAUUGUAAUUGGAGGUUUUGCAAAUUGAUUAAUUAAUUCCAUUAAUAAUAGGAUCUUCUGAUAUAUAAUUUCUUUAAUUAGAAAAUAUUAGAUUUUGAUUAUUUCCACAAUUAUUAAUAAUAAUUAAUAUUAAUUAAUAAUCUAUAGAUUUAUAAUUAAUAAUAGAAUAGAAACAGUAUGAAAAAUGUAUCUUCCAUUAUCAAAUAAUAUUGCAUAUAAUAAUAUUUCAGUAGAUUUAACUAUUUUUUCUUUACAUUUAGUAGGUAUUUCAUCAAUUUUAGGAGCAAUUAAUUUUAUUUGUACAGUUUUAAAUAUA